GACGAACGCUGGCGGCGUGCUUAACACAUGCAAGUCGAACGGAGCGGCGGACGGGUGAGUAAUGCCUAGGAACCUGCCUGGUAGUGGGGGAUAACGUCGGGAAACGGGCGCUAAUACCGCAUACUAUCAGAUGAGUCCAGGUCGGAUGCGCUAGUUGGUGGGGUAAAGGCCUACCAGGGCGACGAUCCGUAACUGGUCUGAGAGGAGGAUCAGUCACACUGGGACUGAGACACGGUCCAGACUCCGACGGGAGGCAGCAGUGGGGAAUAUUGGACAAUGGGCGAAAGCCUGAUCCAGCCAUGCCGCGUGUGUGAAGAAGGUCUUCGGAUUGUGAAACACUUUAAGUUGGGAGGCGUUACCGACAGAGUAAGCACCGGCUAACUUCGUGCCAGCCGCCGCGGUAAUAC
rnacentral:rRNA from 1 species